UGGAAGUUAAAGUCGUAACAAGGUCUCCGUAGGUGAACCUGCGGAGGGAUCAUUAC
rnacentral:rRNA from 1 species